AAUGUAUACAUUAGCAUGAGAAGCCUUCUAUAUAUAUAGCCAGAUAUAGCUGACAACUAAAUCAAGAAUGGGAAGGAAAGGGAAGGGAAGGGAAGGGAAGGGAAGGGAAGGAGAGGGAAGGGAAGGGAAGGGGGGAAGGGAAGGGAAGGGAAGGGAAGGGAAGGGAAGGGAAGGGAAGGGAAGGGAAGGGAAGGGAAGGGAAGGGAAGGGAAGGGAAGGGAAGGGAAGGGAAGGGAAGGGAAGGGAAGGGAAGGGAAGGGAAGGGAAGGGAAGGGAAGGGAAGGGAAGGGAAGGGAAGGGAAGGGAAGGGAAGGGAAGGGAAGGGAAGGGAAGGGAAGGGAAGGGAAGGGAAGGGAAGGGAAGGGAAGGGAAGGGAAGGGAAGUUUCAGGGAAGGGAAGGGAAGGGAAGUUUCAGGGAAGGGAAGGGAAGGGAAGGGAAGGGAAGGGUGAAUGUGUCUACUUUUUGUUUAAAAUAUAUAAAACGCCAGUUUUGUUUCAAAAGUGUAUGGCACUGAUCAGG
rnacentral:lncRNA from 12 species